GUGUCUGAUCUUUAGUUUUAUAGUUAUUAGGAGGAUUUUAUCGGCUCGCUUCGCAUGUUUCAACGACGUCAGGUUGCUAGGGACGCUGCUUUCGCUAAACUAGCAGCUCACGUGUUUCCUGCGUUUCUGUUAUUAAACUGUUACUUUAUGUAACUUUUAAUGAUAUUGUAAUAACCACAGGCGAGGUAGUGAGCGAAGUAAGCUUGAUAGCAGGUUUAUUGGAUUCCACAAUCGGACAGGCAGGCACAGCUCCACCGGAAAACUACAACAACCAAAACUCCCGCCCGGAAGGAAACCCCCGGAACCCCCUCUCAGAAGGCCCGCCUCUUCCUCCCAAACACAAUACCGGCCCCCAUGCCCAGGACUGGUGCAUAUUUCCGGAAUCCACCAGUGCUCAGAGGCCAAGCCUGGUAUUGCAGUCACUCCAAUACAAGUGGGGAGCAGGAAUGUGUCUCCGCAGAAAAUGUGUGGAUAUCAAUCAAAGGUUCAUAAUUAUCUUUAUACCGUGUACUAAAAAAAUGUAAUUUUUUCUUUUCAAAACGCCACCUCAAGCGUUUUAUUAGCCGUUAUCUCGCUGGGGAAGAGGGGUGUGCAGCUGAAAGAAGUCGUAGUGAAACAAAUGGCAUCCGAGAGGGCCUAGUUCAGUGCUCCGUUAACGUGUCAGAUUUUUGUACUGGUUCAUCUGCUGCUCAAUAACUCUCACGGUCCUCUGCUUGCGAUCAUUGUGAUUCAUCAUGUAUUGAUCCAUUUAUUCAAAAGAUCCAAAGGCAAAGAACAGGUGCAUUACGGUAUCAUUUUAUAUUGUUGUUGGACCGGUGUGGGGGGAUGUGCACGGAUACCUGGCGUCAAUUUCCGACGAAAAAUUUGUACCUUUUUCGUCGUUUUUCAACGCGGGGGUACUCGUCAAAUGUGUGACGCAUGGCCAAGGAUCCCUGGCGUCAAUUUCCGACGCAAAAGGUAUACCUUUUGCGUCGUUUUUCAACGCGGGGGGUCAAUCAGAUAGACAUUCAUGUUAAUCCCUCACCGUCGGAUAUAGACGAAAGGAAAUCAAUGGGGACGCCGUAGCUAUUGUCUAUUGAUUUGUUUGACAGAUUCACCAUUAAACGUGUUUCUAAUGACAUUUCUAGCGAGAAAUGUACUUUUUCCUUGAAUAAUCUUCAGUCAGUGAAUGUGUAUGAUCUUUAUUAAUCUUUAUUAUCUGAAUGGGAAAUGCAAUAUUUUAGGACCGAUUCACCGUUAAACGUGUUUCUAAUAACAUUUCUAGAGAGAAAUAUGCUUUUUACUUGCAUAAUCUUCAGUCAGUGAUUGUGUCUUUAGUUUUAUAGUUAUUAGGAAGAUUUUAUCGGCUCGCUCGCAUGUUUCAACGACGUCAGGUUGCUAGGGACGCUGCUAUCGCUAAACUAGCAAGCUGAUCUUUUUUCGACGCUCCGUAUGGCAGAAAAAAACGCUGGGAGGGGCGUCUAAAAAAACGGCCGUGACUUUUUCCAGAAACGCUCUGCUCCAUAGGAAUAUAAUGUAAAACAUGAGCUGGCAGAUUUAAAAUCGCUAGAUGUGAACACGGCCAGUCAAACGUGGCGGAAUAAUAAUAAUAAUAAUAAUAAAAACACUAACGAUUCCAAUAGGUUGCCUUCGCACUUUGUGCUUGGCACCCUAAUAAUAAUAAUAAUGACGAUGAUGAUGUUGAUAAUAAUAAUUUAAUAUUUAUCUCACUUUGUGUGUCUGGGAGUUUUGUUGGCGAAUCAAAUACAUCAUCAGCGAUGCCCUCAAUGUAUGCGACGAUAGCCAGGAUCAUUGCGCUUCUGGACUGAACUAUUUCAUCAUGGCUCAAAAGAAGUUUAGGCCCUGCCCCUCCUGCCAAGAACCUAACCAGGUGAGCCGAAAAACCUGCAGCAGUUGUUUCGCAGCUCUCUCAAACAAGGGAAAACUAAAGGCCAAAACGGGGUCCCUGGAUAGGAAGUGGGCGGAAGGGGUCCUGAAAAAUCGAAACGCGGCAAGAGUGGUGAACUCUGCCCAUAUUGCAGUGAAAAAACUAAGUGCAUUGGGCUAUGUCCCAAUUUUAUUUUAUGCCAGAAGGGGAGAAAGCCUCUGGAAAGUGGGUGGCUGAUGUGAUGAACCAGCUGACACCCACUGAGGAUAACCUCAAAAUUUUAGCCAGUAUGAAAAAGGCAUACAAUUUUGUUUUGCUUAAAGAAGGGAACCAGCCCCAGCCUCAGCCUCAGCCUCAGCCUCAGGCCUUUGCCCUGGCCGAGCCCCUGGCCCAGCCCCAGGCCCUGGCCCUGGCCGAGCCUGAGCCUCAAUAUCAUAUAUUGGACCUAUACCCUGUCUUGCCCCAGCCCGAGCCCCAGCCCCAGGCCCUGGCCCAGCCCCAGCCUCAGCCCGAGCCCCAGCCCCAGGCCCUGGCCCAGCCCCAGCCCCAGGCCCUGGCCCAGCCCCAGCCUCAGGCCCUGGCCCAGCCCCAGCCUCAGGCCCUGGUCCAGCCCCGGGCCCAGCACCAGCCCCAGGCCCUGGCCCAGCCCCAGCCUCAAUAUCAUAUAUUGGACCUAUACCCUGUCUUGCCCCAGGCCCUAGCCCAGCCCCAGCCUCAGCCCGAGCCCCAGCCCCAGGCCCUGGCCCAGCCCCAGCCUCAGGCCCUGGUCCAGGCCCAGCACCAGCCCCAGGCCCUGGCCCAGCCCCAGCCUCAAUAUCAUAUAUUGGACCUAUACCCUGUCUUGCCCCAGGCCCUAGCCCAGCCCCAGCCUCAGGCCCUGGCCCAGCACCAGCCCCAGUCUCAGGCCCUGGCCGAGCACCAGCCUCAGGCCCUGGCCCAGCACCAGCCCCAGCCUCAGGCCCAGCCCCAGCCUCAGGCCCUGGCCCAGCACCAGUCUCAGGCCCUGGCCCAGCACCAGCCUCAGGCCCUGGCCCAGCACCAGCCCCAGCCUCAGGCCCAGCCCCAGCCUCAGGCCCUGGCCCAGCACCAGUCUCAGGCCCUGGCCCAGCACCAGCCUCAGGCCCUGGCCCAGCACCAGCCCCAGGCCCUGGCCCAGCCCCAGCUACAGGCCCUGACCCAGUCCAAGCACCAGCCUCAGGCCCUGGCCCAGCACCAGCCCCAGGCCCAGCCCCAGCCUCAGGCCCUGGCCCAGCACCAGCCCCAGCCUCAGGCCCUGGCCCAGCACCAGCCCCAGGCCCAGCCCCAGCCUCAGGCCCUGGCCAAACCCCCCCACCAAAAAAGAAAGUGUUGCCGGAAAUGUAGUAGGCAAAAAAUAUUUCAUUAUGACGCCGUCACAGAAAGGAGGAUGAAUGAGGGGCGAGCAGAAGUAAGGGUGAGAUGGUUACCUUGCUCUGCAUGUGGAAAAACCUGGGAGGAGACAUGGGAGCUGGCCUGCCAGUUCCCAUCCUAAGAUGCCGGCCAGACUUUUUUCAUUUAUUAUAAUUGAUUUUUGUUUAAAAUAAAGGAAAGUAUACCUAUAUUUCUGUUUACGUCUUUCCAUUAGCCUUGUGGAUUAAAGAUGAAUUAAUUAUUGCCAAAAAUGACUGAAUGAAUUUUUGGUUUUACUUUUCCAUCGUGUUUAGAAACAUCAUGUGACAGUUUUGUAUUUUUUUUUAAAUAUUGUAGAAGAA
ensembl:lncRNA